GUGAAUAUAUAUAAUGCAUAAUAUACAGCUAGCCACGUCCAGUAGAGACUCGACCUCUGCGUAGUCAGUGCACAUAUAGAAUCGAAAACUUCGUUACCUUCUAUACGCAAUCCAGCGAGCUUUUUUCAUUUGAAGAUACCUGUGAAGCUGCGCGUAAAAUCGGUAUAAACGUGGUUCCGUUGAACUACUCAUAAAUGCAUUCGACCAUAAGACAUCAUCCUCGCUACGCGAUACCGGAUUGCAAAUCGGAUAGAUAGUACGACGCGAAAGUAUAAACGGAACAUAAUAUGUCAACGCGCAUAUCGUGGGAGUGCGACAACGCGACCAAGUCCACGGCGGAGGAGUCACUCCAGGGCGGCCCGGCCAAGCCAUUCCCGUGCGCGCCCGACAAGUUUUGCUUCUACUGCUGCUGCAAUCCCCAGUGCUGCUUCGUCAUUCAGCGCAAGCCGCCCAAGCACUUCUGGGAGGCCUGGUACGUCUGGCUCAGCAUCGCUCUGCUCCUCGUCAUCGUCCUCUCGGCGGUAAAUGAAAUUCAUUUAUAUACACGUUAUAUCGGAAGGAUCGAACCUCGCACGAAAUUAUUAUAUAGCAUAGGCACCUACAUCGUAACCAACUGCAAGCAGAAUCUCGCGUCCAUCGGUUUCUACGGCAGAGGCAUCGGCGCGGCCGCGGCGGCGACGACAACGAGUCUCGUUGGCAGUGCGGCGUCGAGAAACCGGGCGCUGCAGCAGCAGCAAGCCAUCGUCGACAACAGGAACGAGAUUUCCAUAAAUGUUAUACCCACGUCGGCCGCGACGCUCUCGAGUCAUCGGAAAAUCAUGCUCAUUCCGCCUCAGCCGGCUUGUACUCAUCUGACCCCAAUAGUUGCUUGAAUGGAUACAAUACUGCGAGCAUUGGACGUAAAUGUGUCACGAAUUUUGCAUUUUGCUUCAUUAAGAAACAAGUUCAAACAAGAAGUUGAAAAAGUAUGAGAACGUGUCGAUUUAAUCUUCAAUUUGCGGAAUCCGAGUUAUGACGUAAUUUUGAAUAUAGCGAAAAAGGCGCUUUUAAGAACGCAUAUUCAAAGUACCAUCAUCGAAGGCCUCCUUCUGAGUAAAGCUAGAUCGUUAAUUUUCGAUAUUGCUCGUUACGUCGAUUAAUUAUAUUAUUUCGUUAAUUGAUAUUUAUCCAUUAAAAUAAUACCAAUAUUUUAUGGCUUAAUAAUUGAAAAUAUUCUACGAGCUAAGUGGACAAUUUAUUCCAAAGCACUUUAUUUUAUCGUCUAUAAAAAAUUUUGACUGAACGAUCUACGACUUUUUUCAACUUGUAUUAUACCUCCCGAGCUAAGCGUUUCAUUGAAAGUCGCAGUAGGUCUGUCAACGCGAUCGCAACAAGUGCAUAAUUUUAUUCAAAAUCGUACAGAAUGAAAAAAACAGUAAGCGAAUGCCUGGUGCAGAGUUUGAAGCCACUGAGCUCGUCGAAGUUCCUCAAGAUCGUUUAUAUUGCGACGAUUAAAGGAAUGUCAAGAGCCGAGCUUGCAUUGUAAACCACCCAGUGGCUUCUGCGGUGCAGUGAAUGCAAGGCAGAAAAAAAAGAAAAAUGGAACUAUCAUUUACGAAGAAAGCCGUGUGCGCGCCGGUGUGUGGAGGAUAUUACAGCAUCGCGCAGGGCCAGUAUUACCGCGAGAGAGAGAGAGAGAGAGCGAGUGCACGGUGCAGUACGCGCGUGGAGCAAGGAGGAGCGCCGCUUUGGAUGUAUAUGAGCGCAUAUAUAGGUACGGCGAGAGGCAAAAAGUGCUGCUGCUGCUGCUGCCCUUGAACAAUGAAGGUACAUAACGCAGCUAAGAAGCGGCGCAUUAUAAGCUGUAGGAUUUAUGGCAUGGCGCAGCGGACCCGCGCGGAUCGUGAGUUACAUUACGGACAUUUUUUCGCGGUCUAUUGACCUCUCGGGGCUUUCAUGUAAUGAAAGAAGAAAAAAAAAUUAAAUAAAAAAAAGCUGCGCCGAGUACUACGUUGGUAUAUGAUUAUACCACUGCACUGUUGCGCUAUUAUUGUAUUAUGAAUAUACUUUUGAAGCUUGUCUUUGGUUACUUUUUCGAUUCAUUUUCUAUAUUAGCUGUGUAUUUUUGAAAAAGAUCUCUUUUGAAUAAAUUGACGAUUUUUCUGUGGAAACAUCAAACAUUAAUAAACACUUUGAUAAAUAAAAAUGAUUUUUCCUUUCAUUUUAAAAUUAGUCGUAGAUGAAAUAAAACUUAGCUACUUUAAAGCUAGAUUUGUUCUAGAUGCUAGUCUAGUUUGGAAAAAAGAUUUGUAUAUUCACAUAAUUUAAUUAUAUUAAAAACAUUCUCAUUCUCC
rnacentral:misc_RNA from 1 species